AUUGAACACUGGCGGCAUGCCUUACACAUGCAAGUCGAACGGCAGCACGGGAGCAAUCCUGGUGGCGAGUGGCGAACGGGUGAGUAAAGCAUCGGAACGUACCCAGUAGUGGGGGAUAACGUAGCGAAAGUUACGCUAAUACCGCAUACGACCUGAGGGUGAAAGCAGGGGAUCGCAAGACCUUGCGCUAUUGGAGCGGCCGAUGUCGGAUUAGCUAGUUGGUAGGGUAAAAGCCUACCAAGGCGACGAUCCGUAGCUGGUCUGAGAGGACGACCAGCCACACUGGGACUGAAACACGGCCCAGACUCCUACGGGAGGCAGCAGUGGGGAAUUUUGGACAAUGGGCGAAAGCCUGAUCCAGCCAUGCCGCGUGAGUGAAGAAGGCCUUCGGGUUGUAAAGCUCUUUCAGACGGAAAGAAAUCUUCUGGGCUAAUACCCCGGGAGGAUGACGGUACCGUAAGAAGAAGCACCGGCUAACUACGUGCCAGCCGCCGCAGUAA
rnacentral:rRNA from 1 species